UCUAAUAAAAAAUAUUUUCAGUUCAAUAAUCUGCAUAUUGUUGUUUUGAAGAACAUAUAUUGUUGAAACUACAAUACACUAUUAUUGAAACAACAGAAUUAUUGUUAUUUCAACAAUAUUUAUUGUUGUUCUCAAAUUGAUUAAAUUCAAAUCAGUGUGUAUUUUUAAAUGUGUAUAGAAUUGAAAUUUUUGUGGAAGAAAACAAAACAAAUAGCAUCGUGUGACCGACACUUCUGCACCAAAAAGCUGCAUUAACUAUGUUUUAUUGGACAACAGGGCGAUUCGUGAAAAUAAUGGUGUUACCAGCAACACCGACCAUCGCCCGCCGGUGGUGUUACCGAAUGAUUUACCACCGCCUCACCGGGUGCUGGAGGGCGACAAACUAGUUGCAGAGUAUGGUAAUGUUCUCAUUUUGUGGAAUUAUUUGAAGAUUCAAUAUAUAUGAUGAAUACAGAACCGUUAUUUACGA